ACAAGCGGUGGAGCAUGUGGUUUAAUUCGACGCAACGCGAAGAACCUUACCAGGGCUUGACAUCCCCUGACCGCGUAUGAAAGACGUUUUCACCUUCGGGAGACAGGGAGACAGGUGGUGCAUGGUUGUCGUCAGCUCGUGUCGUGAGAUGUUGGGUUAAGUCCCGCAACGGGCGCAACCCUUGUCCUUAGUUGCCAACGUAAAGUCGUGCACUCUAGGGAGACUGCCGGAGACAAUUCGGAGGAAGGUGGGGAUGACGUCAAAUCAUCAUGCCCCUUAUGUCCUGGGCUACACACGUGCUACAAUGGGCUGUACAAAGGGUAGCGAAGCCGCGAGGUGGAGCCAAUCCCAUAAAACAGCUCUCAGUUCAGAUCGCAGGCUGCAACUCGCCUGCGUGAAGAUGGAGUUGCUAGUAAUCGUGGAUCAGCAUGCCACGGUGAACUGCGUUCCCGGGCCUU
rnacentral:rRNA from 1 species